CUAGGUGACAGAGGACGGAAUGCCAAGAGAAACCAGCGCCAUCACAGACAGGACGCCACUACAGCAUCUGCACAGGGUCUGGUCUCACUGACAGGGAAACAAGGAUUAAAUUUAAUUUUGGAACGUUGACUAUUUUUUGGGGCCAUGCCGGAAUUAUCGAGCAAACAGUCUUGGCAUAACCGUCAGGAUCAGAUGACACAGGCAGAAGAGGCUGCGGUCGGGGAAGACCUUCUGUCCCGUACUGGAUCAGCACAAACGCCCAAGAAAAUUUAUACGUUGUACUCAAGUGACAUUAGAUGAGAUUAAUAAAAUUGAUUUUUGGGUCAAAUCCAAAUGGACUGAAGUAGACCAACAGCGUUCUGCAAGUGCACAUCCAAGCCAAGUGGUUGAUGGUCAGAGGAGGUGUAGAUGGAUUCGAACACGAGAUGGACUGAGAGCAUGAAUCAGACGUAGAGACAGAAUGAAGAACUGUGUCCCUCUGCUUGGUGAAAGAACUGGCGAGGUCAAACCUUUAGAUCUACUGUGGUUUUAAAAUGAAGUUAUUGCUCAGAUUUGAAAAACGCAGCGCCCAAACGGUCGAAGG